AUGAAAAUAAGAUGGAAUGGAAUAGGGGCAAAGGAGGUUCCUGUUUCUAACAUCUAACCCUUACUCCCUUUUUUUGUUCCAGGGUGAAGUGGGUCAGAUGGAGCACAAAAGGCAUUGACAAUCAGCACACUCUGGUCAAACCACUUCCCUUUUUUGAAAAGUUGCAAAUAAGCUUCAUUGUUAGGAAAAAUCUAAUAAUUAGAGCUGCCAAAAAGUGGAAUGGAUUGCCUGGUGGGGAAGGGAGAUUUAUUGAAAGUCUUCAGACAAAGGCUAGAGGGCACUCCUCAGGUCAUAUAUAUCCUCCAAUGCCAAAUACAGUGCUUUUCCCACAGCAUUUACUAAGGAAGGAAGGAAGAUCAGUGUGGGUCAUAGAAAUCAGAUAAGGCUUCUUGGAGCAGAAGAUCCUAGUCUGAGAGCUGGAGCUAGAGCCAACAUGUUGCAGCAGAAAGCAAUCAUUCAUCUCUCCUGAUAUUCUAACAAAUCCUGUGCUUGUGUAACUGAAAAGUGAAUAAAACCAGAGACUGCACUCAUGUUCACACCAUACUAAUUCUGGUUCUGUACCCAGGAACUGUUUAUUCAAGACCUAAGAAUAAUUGUUUUGGGUCCUGCCUUUUUGUGGUUUUCAGGAAUAAAAGCCCUAUCCCUGCUACAAGACACAAGUCCUCCUACUUAGAGGGACUUCAGUUUGCAAACUUGCUUUCCUCAUUCUGAAAUUAAUUAAACUUCUAUUU